AUUGAACGCUGGCGGCAGGCCUAACACAUGCAAGUCGAGCGGAUGAAGGGAGCUUGCUCCUGGAUUCAGCGGCGGACGGGUGAGUAAUGCCUAGGAAUCUGCCUGGUAGUGGGGGAUAACGUCCGGAAACGGGCGCUAAUACCGCAUACGUCCUGAGGGAGAAAGUGGGGGAUCUUCGGACCUCACGCUAUCAGAUGAGCCUAGGUCGGAUUAGCUAGUUGGUGGGGUAAAGGCCUACCAAGGCGACGAUCCGUAACUGGUCUGAGAGGAUGAUCAGUCACACUGGAACUGAGACACGGUCCAGACUCCUACGGGAGGCAGCAGUGGGGAAUAUUGGACAAAGGGCGAAAGCCUGAUCCAGCCAUGCCGCGUGUGUGAAGAAGGUCUUCGGAUUGUAAAGCACUUUAAGUUGGGAGGAAGGGCAGUAAGUUAAUACCUCGCUGUUUUGACGGUACCAACAGAAUAAGCACCGGCUAACUUCGUG
rnacentral:rRNA from 1 species